rnacentral:rRNA from 1 species
UACGAAGGGGGCUAGCGUUGUUCGGAGUCACUGGGCGUAAAGCGCACGUAGGCGGAUUUUUAAGUCAGGGGUGAAAUCCCGAGGCUCAACCUCGGAACUGCCUUUGAUACUGAGGAUCUGGAGUCCGGGAGAGGUGAGCGGAACUGCGAGUGUAGAGGUGAAAUUCGUAGAUAUUCGCAAGAACACCAGUGGCGAAGGCGGCUCACUGGCCCGGAACUGACGCUGAGGUGCGAAAAGCCGUGGGGAGCAAACAGGG